GUGUCUCACCACUAGAGGUCGCCAGAAACCAAAUAUUAAUUGAGCAUACUUAAUGAAUCAGUUUCACCUGUCUGGAAUUAUUACCCAGCAUGCACUGAGCAGCCAGUUUAUCAGCUCUACUAUGCAAGUGACUUUGCAGGUGCACAAUUACAGACUCUAGUUCAUCUUGCUCUGUACAGUUUGCUUCCCAAGAUGGACAUAUAGUCUAUAGAAUAACAUCUGGAAUGAGGACAGCUCCUGGUAGUGACUCUUGAGCUGACUUCAGCUGAAUGCACCCAUAAAGCAACAGGCAACAAGAGAAAAAGAAAAAGAAUUAUUUUAGCAGUUCAUACUUACCAAUGCCAAGAAGUGGAAGGAAUAAAAGCAGCAGGAUCCUGGGGAAGGUCAUGUCUCUUUUCAGUCUGCUCUUCAGUUUGGAGAAGUUCUUCACUGCGCUCUGCUUUGGCCCACUAUAUACAGUUUCUCAAAAACAGGAACUAACACCCUGAAGCACUUUCAAAGAGCAUUUAACAUGCUCGAGUUUGGCCAAAGCCACAAAGCCAGCCUGAGCUGAUAAGGUGUAAAGCUCUUGCAUUGUUCAGAAGCUGGAGCUUUGACCGAAGUCACGGAUGAAACUAUCUCUCUGAAAAAAAAGAAAAAAAGAAACAGCUCCAGUUUCAGGGUCCAGAGCAGAUUUGUUGAUUUUUUUUUCUUCUUUAGAUGAUUUCAACACUGAGUUUUAGCCUAUAUAAACCCUCAAUGACACGGUAAGGAACAAAAGAUGAAUAUCAGCUCCAGUUUGCUUUUUGAUACGCACUUGAUGUCUGAUCUUUUCUAUGAAGCUGAUAUGUACUUUAAAAAACGCACACAUUUAAAAUACAUGUCUAUAUGACUCUGCUUUGGAUCGUGAUUAUUCACUCACAUGAAAUGAUCAAACAGCAAACACUGUAUGUGACUGUAUGUGAGAUCAUUCUAACACUCAAUAAACAGUAUUAUCAUAAUGUAGUGAUGUAAUCAUUUAGCAAAAGAUCUCAUACUCAUACAGAUUAUCUGAAUAUAGUAUGGUUCUAAUCAAGAAAAGAAAGAAGAAUAAAUCUGAUUACAGAUUUUACAGCUCACUGAUAUUUUGUCCUCAUACUCUCAAGGAUUUACAGCAAUGGACUUAUCCAAAGUCAUAUUCUGUUAAUACUUUUACAUCUACACACUUAUUUAUUUCAAAACAACUAUGUACAGAUGUUUAUAAUGAUAAUAUGGAUGCAUGAAACAUUUCACAGCUAUGGUUUAAUUCUGUAUUGAUGUAUUUUAUAUGCAUUAAAUGGUGUUUUUUAUGAAGCAUCUUAAGAAAGGGGAGUAAGGCAGACUGGGAAAUUGAGAGUGUUACUUAGACCUACUGCUGAGUAUGCCAAGGUUUUUAAUGUACUGUGUUCAGAUAAUUAUUAGAGAUUGAUAUUGAUGUUUGUUUUAUUUCUAAAUCCUGUGUUAUGCUGAUACUGCAAGAAAUAAAUUAUACACAAUUAUA